CGCUGUGGGAACCGGCCUCCUGCAAGUCCUGACUUCAUCCUGAAGGCAGCUCCGGCUUCUGUCUGAAGAUCUCCGAAGGGCACAAAGGGAAGCUGACUUUCUCCGAUCAUCUCAUAGCGUGAGAUUGGGUCAAGCGCAAGAGACAGUAAUCCUGCUCCAAAAUAAAUAAAACGUCCUGCUUUGGGAGUUUUCAGUCCCCAUACUCUGGGGCUGGAGGCCUUUCCUUGGCCAAGGGAUUGAUUUUCUAUUAAUGGAAGAACGGGUGGAAGUAUCGGUUGUUAAAGGCUUCGAUGACACAUUGCACCGUAUUAGUUAUGAUGCGAAUAUAUGAAAUUUGAGGCGAGGAGAGGUUCUUGUUAAUUGAGCACCUGGACUAUAACCUUUGGAUCUGAACCACAGCUUAAAAAGUGUUCUCCAGCAGUUAUUCAUUCAUUCAUUCAUUCAUUCAUUCAUUCAUUUCAGAAAAAGGCUAAUGUAUAUUAUUGGAAAAAGCCAAGCAUGUUUUAUCGCAUGCUAAAAUAGUUUGUCAGGCUCUUUUUUGGGUUAAAUUACUUAAUAUUUUUAACUGUUAAAACUUUAAUUAUGAUGAAAUAAUAUUUUGACCGACAACUUGUUCAGUAGGUUCAUGAGCACCUGUUAAUUUCAUUUUUAGUGAGAAAUUUAGAAAGAACCAUUCUGAAUUUACUAGAUGUCAACAGAUACAUAUACAUAUGAAUACAUGUCAACAGAUAUAUGUAUAUUUACAUAUAUGUGUAUGUAUAUAUAUAUAUAUAUACACCUUUUCCAGUAAAUCAGUAUCAGUCAAAAUUGUUGAGUUUUUAGGAGCAAAGUGAGGUACAGAGAGAAUUGCCCUCAUUCCUUUAGCAAAUUCUUAUUGCCUACAACUUUUGAGACCUUGAAAGUGUAUGCAAAUAAUUGGUACAUGACACCUGACCUUGUAUUUACUAUCUGGGCCAGACAUAAGACGCUCAGUAAAUAAUCUUUGAGUAAAAGCAUCAUGGGUCCUAAAGGGGAGGAAGAGAUAAGGUAUAUAAAAUAUAGCUAUAAUGGGACACUAGGUAGUCAAAUAACAUCUGGUUACAGUGGGACUUUUUAUAGAACAGAAGAGUUAACUUCUGUAUGCCAGGAUAAGUGAAUCUCUAGGAAGGGGUUUCUCAGCCUCAGCACUGUUGACAUUUUGGGCCAGAUGCUUUGUUGUGGGGAGCUUUCCUUUGCAUUGUAGGGUAUUUAGCAGCAUUCUUAGCCUGACUCUCCUCCCCUUCUAGUUGUGAUAACUGUCUCCAGACAUUGCCGGAUGUCAUUUGCGGGGGCAAGGUUUCUUGUAGACGAGAACCACUACUAUAGGGGAUGUCUUUUGAGGGAAUGGAGAGGAGGGAGGCCUUUCAUGGCAUAAAGAAUAAAAUGGGAGAAACUUAAAUGCA